CCCGCACGAAGCGGUUGGAGCAUGUGGUUUAAUUCGAAGCAACGCGAAGAACCUUUACCAGGUUCUUGACAUCCCGAUGCUAUUUCUAGAGAUAGAAGUUACUUCGGUACAUCGGUGACAGGUGGUGCAUGGUUGUCGUCAGCUCGUGUCGUGAGAUGUUGGGUUAAGUCCCGCAACGAGCGCAACCCCUAUUGUUAGUUGCCAUCAUUCAGUUGGGCACUCUAGCGAGACUGCCGGUAAUAAACCGGAGGAAGUGGGAUGACGUCAAAUCAUCAUGCCCCUUAUGACCUGGGCUACACACGUGCUACAAUGGUUGGUACAACGAGUUGCGAGUCGGUGACGGCGAGCUAAUCUCUUAAAGCCAAUCUCAGUUCGGAUUGUAGGCUGCAACUCGCCUACAUGAAGUCGGAAUCGCUAGUAAUCGCGGAUCAGCACGCCGCGGUGAAUACGUUCCCGGGCCUU
rnacentral:rRNA from 1 species